CCUACGGGAGGCAGCAGUGAGGAAUAUUGGUCAAUGGACGAGAGUCUGAACCAGCCAAGUAGCGUGAAGGAUGACUGCCCUAUGGGUUGUAAACUUCUUUUAUAUGGGAAUAAAAUGUUCCACGUGUGGGUUUUUGUAUGUACCAUAUGAAUAAGGAUCGGCUAACUCCGUGCCAGCAGCCGCGGUAAUACGGAGGAUCCGAGCGUUAUCCGGAUUUAUUGGGUUUAAAGGGAGCGUAGGUGGAUUGUUAAGUCAGUUGUGAAAGUUUGCGGCUCAACCGUAAAAUUGCAGUUGAAACUGGCAGUCUUGAGUACAGUAGAGGUGGGCGGAAUUCGUGGUGUAGCGGUGAAAUGCUUAGAUAUCACGAAGAACUCCGAGUGCGAAGGCAGCUCACUGGACUGCAACUGACACUGAGGCUCGAAAGUGUGGGUAUCAAACAGGAUUAGAUACCCCAGUAGUC
rnacentral:rRNA from 1 species